UGCAGUAUCAACAUUAAUCCUGCAUUAACCAUCGAAGGUUUUAUGCGCAUAUAUGGAGAGCUAAAAAUCCAGAGAAAAAAAGGAAAACCAAAGGCCGAAGAUGAUCCAACUCACCUUUUGUUCUCAUCACAUUCUUGUCCUCCAUGGCUGCAGUGCAAAGCUGAAGUUGGCCCAUUCUUGUCCUUUUGGCUUUUGUCGCUGUUGGCAGUUGGCAGAUUCAUGGAUGAGAGUGGUGAGGGGGAUAAAGAUGAGUGAUUGCCUGCUUCGAUCUUUUUGCCCGAUGCAGCUAAGUGCUUGCUGCUUGCCUCCAACUUUUGGCGCAGUGGGGAGGGUCAUGCCGGUGCAGGCUCCUCCGCGGCCACAAGACACUCCUCGUUUCUGAGACCUUUAGUCUUUCCGGGUGUGGAGAAUGGAGAAGUUGUCAGCGCACGAUGGUGCCAUUGUCGAUUUGCCUGCAGCAUCAACAUGAAAAAUGCGGCAACAGCAGUGAGAUCUGCAGCUUUAUCUGCUCCGACGACUGCUCUCUCUUCCCACCAUUUGUGCUCUUCGCUGCACUCUCUUUAUCCCAAAUUGGUUCACAUAUUCUAAUUUUCUUGUGUACAGUAUGUUGGGCAAAAACUAUGUAUUUAUCCUUUAAUUAUCAAGAUUUAAUCUCCA
rnacentral:lncRNA from 1 species